GAUGAACGCUGGCGGCGUGCUUAAUACAUGCAAGUCGAGGGGCAGCAUGACUGUAGCAAUACAGUUGAUGGCGACCGGCAAACGGGUGCGGAACACGUACAGAACCUUCCUUCGAGCGGGGAAUAGCCCAGAGAAAUUUGGAUUAAUACCCCAUAGUACAACGGAGUGGCAUCACUUUGUUGUUAAAGAUUUAUCACUUGAAGAUGGCUGUGCGGCUGAUUAGGUAGUUGGCGGGGUAACGGCCCACCAAGCCUGCGAUCAGUAACUGGUGUGAGAGCACGACCAGUCACACGGGCACUGAGACACGGGCCCGACUCCUACGGGAGGCAGCAGUAAGGAAUAUUGGUCAAUGGACGAAAGUCUGAACCAGCCAUGCUGCGUGGAGGAUGAAGGUCCUCUGGAUUGUAAACUUCUUUUAUAUGGGACGAAAAAAGGGUUUUCUAACUCGUCUGACGGUACCAUAUGAAUAAGCACCGGCUAACUCCGUGCCAGCCGCCGCAGUAACAC
rnacentral:rRNA from 1 species